rnacentral:lncRNA from 1 species
GAAUUGCUAGUGAAAAGAGAAAACAUCUCAUUGAAGUGUGUGUUAGUGAAGAACAGCUCAACUGAGCAUGAACUGGGUGAACUUGCACAACAAAAAUUGGGAGCACUGACAGUCUGAUUCCAUCCUCUUAAAAGCCUAGAUAAAGGUAUACGAAUUAUGGAACAAUAAUUUAAAAUUUAAAAUUAUCCUUUUUGUUUUCAGAAGCAUUAUGCCCAGUUAACUAGCCUAACAGUUAAACCACCUGUCACCAUCUACCUGUGCUGCAUCCUCUCUGCUCCAGCCCUUCUUCAAACCCAGAAGCUUCUGCUGGGAAAGAACCUGUUUCGUGUUGCUUAAAAUUGUGCUCAUGCUGGAGAAUGUAAAACAUACUUACAACCUGCAGAGCCUCUUGAAGAAGGUUCUGGUAACAGUUUCAGUUGCAACUUGAGGUUUAUGAAGGAAAAGGCACGGCAAUGACUCCUUUUCUGUGUCCCACCAAGUCAAAGUUCACAACCGACUGGCAAAACAAUCUGUGUGUUGGUUUGCACUCUGAAGAGGCUGUGGUUAAUCAGUAUCUGAACCUGGACCUCAGGGAUCUUCUUCUGCUCAGCCUGGGACCAGACCAAGAGGAUAUACGGCACAGUGCUUUUGACCAUCUUGACCAGAACCACAAAGAAUUGGAAAUUUCUCAGGAAUGGAUGUUCUCUACUGAUUUCCAAACCUUAGGUAUGUCCUUUUAGGUAAGUGUUAGGAAAAAUACGAUGCCUCUAACAGAAGUUUCCAAGCCACAAAAACUAUGUAGAACUGAGACAAUGCUUGACCUUGUGCCCACCUAAUUUGUGAAAUAGUAUUGUUGCCUACUUUUUUUAUUAUGCAGCUUUAAAGAAGAACAUGUCUCCUUUGCCCUCAUAUGUCUAAGGAACUUUAGUAUACGAGUUCUCUAGAAUAGAAUGAGAGGCAAAACAUCAAAAGUUUAACUAGUUUCUUGAAAUAUUUAGUAAUCAUACCAAGUAAGUGACAACGCUGGCCAGCUGCAGUAUUCAACAUCUAUUUGCCUUUUCCUAAUAUACUUGAGCAUUAUUGUUCUGAAGCAAGACAUUGAGUCUACAGUUAAUUUUAGGUGACUAUAAGUUGAUUCCUCAGACAUUUAUUGCGUGCCUGCUCUACCUCAGAUCCAUGCUAAGCAUCAGUGUGAAUGAAUUAUGAAUUACUCACAACCUCUGUUUCCAAAAGCUUGUAAUCUAGUGGAGGAAACAAAUUUCUAAGUAAAUUAACUCAGUAUUAUAUAAUACAGGCUAACUGAGAAGCACCAGGAGUUAUGGGAGAGAUACUUAGUUGACUUAGUCCCGAUAAGAAUGCUCCAGGAAGGAAGAGCUACCAUAGUUAUAAGUUACACUAAGAAUAAACUUUAUUCAGGACAUAUUAGCCUGAGCA